rnacentral:rRNA from 1 species
UACGUAGGCAGCAAGCGUUGUUCGGAGUUACUGGGCGUAAAGGGUGUGUAGGCGGUUGGAUAAGUGUGGUGUGAAAUCUCCCGGCUCAACGUGGGAGGGUGCGCUACAAACUGUCUGACUAGAGUGUGGGAUGGGUAAGUGGAAUUCCUGGUGUAGCAGUGAAAUGCGUAGAUAUCAGGAGGAAUACCGAUGGCGAAGGCAGGAUCUCUGGGCUGACACUGACGCUCAUGCACGAAAGCGUGGGGAGCAAACAGG